rnacentral:rRNA from 1 species
CCAGACUCCUACGGGAGGCAGCAGUGGGGAAUAUUGGGCAAUGGGCGCAAGCCUGACCCAGCAACGCCGCGUGAAGGAAGAAGGCUUUCGGGUUGUAAACUUCUUUUGACAGGGAAGAGCAGAAGACGGUACCUGUCGAAUAAGCCACGGCUAACUACGUGCCAGCAGCCGCGGUAAUACGUAGGUGGCAAGCGUUGUCCGGAUUUACUGGGUGUAAAGGGCGUGUAGCCGGGCUGACAAGUCAGAUGUGAAUUCCGGGGCUCAACCCCCGAACUGCAUUUGAAACUGUUGGUCUUGAGUAUCGGAGAGGCAGGCGGAAUUCCUAGUGUAGCGGUGAAAUGCGUAGAUAUUAGGAGGAACACCAGUGGCGAAGGCGGCCUGCUGGACGGUGACUGACGCUGAGGCUCGAAAGCGUGGGGAGCAAACAGGAUUAGAUACCCCCGUAAUC